CAAAAACAAGAAAACCCACGGGCCCACCGUGGUGUCACUUGGGUCAAAGACUCAAAUCAGUAAACCAGGACUUAGCUCCUGACUGCGCUGCCGCCCCAGGAAUACCAGCUUUAGCCAGUAAGCAUGGCCAGGAAAUUGACUGGGAGGCCCCCUCCUGCUCCCCUUAGCAGGGCAGCCUUGCCUAAAUGACGCGUUCCUGGCUAAUAAAGUCCCUUUUUGAAACGCCCUCUGUGCCUUUAAAAAACCUUUCUCAACCCAGCUCCCCUGUACUGGCUGGACAGGAAGCUGCCGGAUCCGUGAACUGUUUAAUCAAGCCACUCAGACUGUCACAUUUCCUCAGCUGAAUUUUGUUGAACAGAGUUGGUGGCAGCGUUGGGAUCUGAAGUGAACUUCUGCUGGCAUUCGGGGUCAAGGAGACACACGGACAGGGUGCCCUGCCAACACUUCUGAGUUCAAGGUCAGCCUCGCCAUUUCAGGAUGUUUCCGGGCUGCUGCUGUCCAGCUGGAAGACCUUAAAGAGUAGGAGAAGAACGUUUCCUUCCCUUCGGUUGGCAUCGUCCCCAGGACACGGACUCACGGGACACUGCUCGCCCGGUGUUGCUACAGCCGAGAUCCUGGGACAUCUGAGGCACUGCCAGCAGAAGAAGAUCCUACCAAAUUGAGAGAAACAUUAAAAAGAUGUGACUAUAGACCAACCUCCCCUUCAUAGAAGAAAGAGACGAUCGAUACAAUUUCAGCUCGGCCCUCUGACAGAUGAUCAGAGGAAAGCUGGUGUCCACAGGGUAAUAGAAGCCACGGUUGACACGUCUAACCCUGAAGAAGGCUAUCAUUAAAAUGCUUUGUACAGAC